UACAGAGGUCUCAAGCGUUGUUCGGAUUCAUUGGGCGUAAAGGGUGCGUAGGUGGCGCCAUAAGUCAGGUGUGAAAUCUCGGGGCUCAACCCCCGAAACUGCACUUGAUACUGUGGUGCUGGAGUACUGGAGAGGAGAUUGGAAUUUACGGUGUAGCAGUGAAAUGCGUAGAUAUCGUAAGGAAGACCAGUGGCGAAGGCGGCUAUCUGGACGACAACUGACGCUGAGGCGCGAAAGCACGGGGAUCAAACAGG
rnacentral:rRNA from 1 species